rnacentral:misc_RNA from 1 species
UCGCGGCUUAUCACCGGCAGUCCCCUUAGAGUGCCCAACUAAAUGAUGGCAACUAAGGGCGAGGGUUGCGCUCGUUGCGGGACUUAACCCAACAUCUCACGACACGAGCUGACGACAGCCAUGCAGCACCUGUGUUCAGAUUCCCGAAGGCACAGCCUAAUCUCUUAGGUCUUCCUGACAUGUCAAGAGCAGGUAAGGUUCUUCGCGUUGCAUCGAAUUAAUCCACAUCAUCCACCGCUUGUGCGGGUCCCCGUCAAUUCCUUUGAGUUUUAAUCUUGCGACCGUACUCCCCAGGCGGUUUACUUCUCGCGUUAGCUUCGCUACUUAGGUUUUACCCCCAACAGCAAGUAAACAUCGUUUAGGGCGUGGACUAC